rnacentral:RNase_MRP_RNA from 1 species
CUAGCCACAGGAUGAAGUGAGCGGGCCUAACCAGCCCUGGAAAGUCCCUGGGCCCCAUGCGCAGCGAUGCGCCCACGGAGACGUGGACGGCCCAUGAGCCGGCUCUCCCUGCCUCGGCGGGGGGCUGAGACGAGUGUGGAGCCCAAUCACAGGGGGCCGGCUCUGGGUCAAUUGGCUAAUCUCACAGUUAUUCACUUGGUCCGUAUAAUGGAUUAACAGAACGGGGCUUACACUCCUGUGGCACCACC